GGGGUCGUGGGGUAGCCUGGUCUAUCCUGCUGGCUUUGGGAGCCAGUGACUCGAGUUCAAAUCUCGGCGACCCCACCA
rnacentral:tRNA from 1 species